rnacentral:hammerhead_ribozyme from 1 species
AUCUAACAGACGAGUUUCAAAUAGGACGAAACGCGCUUACUGGAU